rnacentral:rRNA from 1 species
GAUGAACGCUGGCGGCGUGCCUAAUACAUGCAAGUCGAGCGAACAGACGAGGAGCUUGCUCCUCUGACGUUAGCGGCGGACGGGCGAGUAACACGUGGAUAACCUACUUCUAAUACUGGGAUAACUUCGGGAAACCGGAGCUAAUACCGGAUAAUAUAUUGAACCGCAUGGUUCAAUAGUGAAAGACGGUUUUGCUGUCACUUAUAGAUGGAUCCGCGCCGCAUUAGCUAGUUGGUAAGGUAACGGCUUACCAAGGCAACGAUGCGUAGCCGACCUGAGAGGGUGAUCGGCCACACUGGAACUGAGACACGGUCCAGACUCCUACGGGAGGCAGCAGUAGGGAAUCUUCCGCAAUGGGCGAAAGCCUGACGGAGCAACGCCGCGUGAGUGAUGAAGGUCUUCGGAUCGUAAAGCUCUGUUAUUAGGGAAGAACAAAUGUGGAAGUAACUAUGCACGUCUUGACGGUACCUAAUCAGAAAGCCACGGCUAACUACGUG